rnacentral:rRNA from 1 species
UGAGGAAUAUUGGUCAAUGGACGAGAGUCUGAACCAGCCAAGUAGCGUGCAGGAUGACGGCCCUAUGGGUUGUAAACUGCUUUUGUUUGGGAAUAAUCGACAUUACGUGUAAUGUUUUGCAUGUACCAUUCGAAUAAGGACCGGCUAAUUCCGUGCCAGCAGCCGCGGUAAUACGGAAGGUCCAGGCGUUAUCCGGAUUUAUUGGGUUUAAAGGGAGUGUAGGCGGUUGGUUAAGCGUGUUGUGAAAUGUAGAUGCUCAACAUCUGACUUGCAGCGCGAACUGGCUGACUUGAGUACACACAACGUAGGCGGAAUUCAUGGUGUAGCGGUGAAAUGCUUAGAUAUCAUGACGAACUCCGAUUGCGAAGGCAGCUUACGGGAGCGCAACUGACGCUGAAGCUCGAAGGUGCGGGUAUCGAACAGG